UGAGGAAUAUUGGUCAAUGGGCGGGAGCCUGAACCAGCCAAGUCGCGUGAAGGAAGAAGGAUCUAUGGUUCGUAAACUUCUUUUGCAGGGGAAUAAAGUGCAGGACGUGUCCUGUUUUGUAUGUACCCUGAGAAUAAGGAUCGGCUAACUCCGUGCCAGCAGCCGCGGUAAUACGGAGGAUCCGAGCGUUAUCCGGAUUAUUGGGUUUAAAGGGUGCGUAGGUGGUUUGAUAAGUCAGCGGUGAAAGUUUGCAGCUUAACUGUAAAAAUGCCGUUGAAACUGUCGGACGUGAGUGUAAAUGAGGUAGGCGGAAUGCGUGGUGUAGCGGUGAAAUGCAUAGAUAACACGCAGAACUCCGAUUGCGAAGGCAGCUUACUAAGCUACAACUGACACUGAAGCACGAAAGCGUGG
rnacentral:rRNA from 1 species